rnacentral:rRNA from 1 species
GAACUCAAGGGAGACUGCCGGUGAUAAACCGGAGGAAGGUGGGGAUGACGUCAAGUCAUCAUGGCCCUUACGGCCAGGGCUACACACGUGCUACAAUGGCGCGUACAGAGGGCUGCAAGCUAGCGAUAGUGAGCGAAUCCCAAAAAGCGCGUCGUAGUCCGGAUCGGAGUCUGCAACUCGACUCCGUGAAGUCGGAAUCGCUAGUAAUCGCAAAUCAGAAUGUUGCGGUGAAUACGUUCCCGGGCCUUGUACACACC